rnacentral:sRNA from 1 species
AGCAUUAACAAUUGGUGUCAGAAGC